AUCACUCUGAGAGAAACCAGGUGACACAUUGUGGGCUGUCUCAUGGAAGGGCCUUAUGUAAAGGAACUGAUGUCUCCAGUGUCAGCCAAUCUCCAGCCAGGACCUGAGGCCUUGCAGCAGUCACAGAAGGGAGCUUGGAAAUGGAGCCUUUAUGAGUCCAACCUCAAGAUGAUAGAAGCUCCAGCAGAUACCUGGAUUGCAACCCUGUGAGACACUCUGAGCUAGAAACACCCAGCUGUCCUGCUCUGGGUUUCUGACUCAAAGAAACUCUGAGAUUUGAUCUGUUAUGUUAUAGAUAGAACCACAUCCAGCUUUACUAACCAACAUUCAGAUGAUUUACAAAAGAAGAGGAGGAUCACCAAUGAGGAAGGCAUCCAGAGAUUUAUGAAGAAGAGGUAUCUGAUAAGAAACUGGAAUUCCAUAUGGAAUGAAGUCUCGUAGUCACAGACCAAAUAUUUUUUGGUCAUAUAUUUUGGCCAUUACCAAAUUACCACCAAAUGAUUGACUCAAAUUGAUCCGUGAAGCAAAUGUCAGAAGCUGCUUUCAGUUAGUUAAAACAGUGAUCAAUUUGCAAACAAUUGAGUAUUUGAUAUGAGUAUUAUUACACAUAGUUUUCAAAGAGCCUAUAAAUAAAAACAUCAGAAAAUAUUUCAUGUUUAAGGAAUUCAAGAACAUUAAAUUAUUUUAAAAUCAUACAGGUUUUUUUUUUCUAAUUAUCACAGUGUCAAAUUACUUGUAUGGGAAGAACUAUGUUUCUGCAUACAUGCUGUGUGUACAGGCACACACACAUAUGUACACAUUCCUCAACAUGCCACAAGACUCUUAAGCAAAGUGAAAUUAAUUCAGCAGAUGUGUUUUAGCAUAUCAGGAAAUUAUAAUUAAAUAUGAUAAAAUAAUAAUAUUAAAAUAUAAUUAACUAUCAACUUACAUAAUGAGGUACCUGAUUGAUUUGACCUUCUCACAGAAUCAACAUUCUCCACCAUGUAAAUGGGUCACUUAGUAACUAUUUGUUGCAGUGAUAUCACUCAGCUUAUGCUUUAAAUCAAUCCUGGCUCCUUCACCAGUCACCUGGCCUCAAAAUCCAAGGUGGUAAAUUGGCAAGUGGACCAGCUUGUUAACUUUCCUGGGACAGACACCAGGUCUUGGUGCCUCCGGCCAGGAGAGACAUGGGGCUGCAACCCAAGGGCCAAGUAGAGUGAAAGACGAAUCCAGAUUAGAAACAGGAUAUGAAAUAUUAUAUGUGACAAGAAAGAAAGAUAAAACAAUGCUGGUUGAAUUGGACAACCAGAAGAAGCAGCAAAGGAACAGAACUGGUAAUAGUGAGAGGUGACAGAGUGCUGGCGGUCCUCACAGCCCUCACUCACUCUCGACGCCUCCUCUGCCUGGGCUCCCACUUUGGCGGCACUUGAGGAGCCCUUCAGCCCUUUCUGGGCUGGCCAAGGCCGGAGCCGGCUCCCUCAGCUUGUGGGGAGGUGUGAAGGGAGAGGCGCUGGCGGGAACCGCGG
rnacentral:lncRNA from 1 species